rnacentral:tRNA from 1 species
GGUUGCAUAGCUCAGUUGGUUAGAGCGCGGCACUCAUAAUGCCGAGGUCCGUGGUUCGAUUCCAUGUGCAACUACCA